rnacentral:rRNA from 1 species
UACAGAGGGGGCAAGCGUUGUUCGGAAUUACUGGGCGUAAAGGGCGCGUAGGCGGCCUUCUAAGUCGAACGUGAAAUCCCCCGGGCUCAACCCGGGAACUGCGUCCGAUACUGGAAGGCUUGAAUCCGGGAGAGGGAUGUGGAAUUCCAGGUGUAGCGGUGAAAUGCGUAGAUAUCUGGAGGAACACCGGUGGCGAAGGCGGCCUUACUGGACAGUGACUGACGCUGAGACGCGAAAGCGUGGGGAGCAAACAGGG